GAUGAACGCUGGCGGCGUGCCUAAUACAUGCAAGUCGAGCGAACGGACGAGAAGCUUGCUUCUCUGAUGUUAGCGGCGGACGGGUGAGUAACACGUGGAUAACCUACCUAUAAGACUGGGAUAACUUCGGGAAACCGGAGCUAAUACCGGAUGAUAUUUUGAACCGCAUGGUUCAAAAGUGAAAGACGGUCUUGCUGUCACUUAUAGAUGGAUCCGCGCUGCAUUAGCUAGUUGGUAAGGUAACGGCUUACCAAGGCAACGAUGCAUAGCCGACCUGAGAGGGUGAUCGGCCACACUGGAACUGAGACACGGUCCAGACUCCUACGGGGGGCAGAAGUAGGGAAUCUUCCGCAAUGGGCGAAAGCCUGACGGAGCAACGCCGCGUGAGUGAUGAAGGUCUUCGGAUCGUAAAACUCUGUUAUUAGGGAAGAACAUAUGUGUAAGUAACUGUGCACAUCUUGACGGUACCUAAUCAGAAAGCCACGGCUAACUACGUG
rnacentral:rRNA from 1 species